GAUGAACGCUGGCGGCGUGCCUAAUACAUGCAAGUCGAGCGAACGGACGAGAAGCUUGCUUCUCUGAUGUUAGCGGCGGACGGGUGAGUAACACGUGGAUAACCUACCUAUAAGACUGGGAUAACUUCGGGAAACCGGAGCUAAUACCGGAUAAUAUUUUGAACCGCAUGGUUCAAAAGUGAAAGACGGUCUUGCUGUCACUUAUAGAUGGAUCCGCGCUGCAUUAGCUAGUUGGUAAGGUAACGGCUUACCAAGGCAACGAUGCAUAGCCGACCUGAGAGGGUGAUCGGCCACACUGGAACUGAGACACGGUCCAGACUCCUACGGGAGGCAGCAGUAGGGAAUCGUCCGCAAUGGGCGAAAGCCUGACGGAGCAACGCCGCGUGAGUGAUGAAGGUCUGCGGAUCGUAAAACUCUGUUAUUAGGGAAGAACAUAUGUGUAAGUAACUGUGCACAUCUUGACGGUACCUAAUCAGAAAGCCACGGCUAACUACGU
rnacentral:rRNA from 1 species